ensembl:lncRNA
CACACACACACGCACACAGUGGAGAGCCUAUUGAGGAGAGAUUUGUACACUGCGAUGCACGAGACGACUGUGUGUAAUGUCCAGUGUGCGUGUGUGUGUGUGUGUGUGUAAGGCCGUGCUGCGUUUGCACAUUUCAGUUGACCUACAUGAACCGAUCUGAUCUGCGUGUCAUGUGACUCCCUUCUUCUCUCUAUCAGGUCUGUCAACUAGUCGUUGUGUCACAGAACCCAACGGGUUGUUGGUCUCCUGGUUGAUGUGCACCACUGUGGUUGAGGUUGCUUAACUUCAGCAGGGUGCCAGUCCUUCAUUUGGGUUUUAUUGUGAUUGAUUAACCGAGCAGGGUAUUUAUUUGGCACCUUCGUCGUCCCUCAUCAGACGCUGCUAUGAGCGGUCCCUGACCCGUCGUAUCAAUGAUGUUAAAUCACAUGGGUCAUGGAGGGAGAUUGAUCUACCCUCCAGUAGUCGACUAGAGACCCUGUACACUAAUAUUAAAGUAGUAUUGAGUGUCACUCACAUCAUCAUUUCAGUGGUUAAAAUGUGGAUUUGAAGUGAGUGUCUCUGAAACUGAUUUGAAUCAUUUUGUUCAACUAAUUGGAAAAUACUGUGUUUCCCUACAUUAUUAGAUGAUGCCUGAUGGUUUCAUUAUUCCAUAAUGAUAACCGUAGAGUUUUCCUGUACACGCUGGACUCACCUCAUCAUGAAUAAACAAACAGAAGAAUUCAAAUAUUUCCCUCUCCAUGAUCAACUCUGCUGUGUGGGCUCUUCUCAAUGUACCUUCAUUUCUUCAUCUUACAGAUAUGGAGGAGAGAAGCAGCGCAGGCUCAUGGCCGAGUGGCAGCCGCUCUUCCAAGAAUUAUGCAGACGGGUCGCAGUACAUGGCGUCACAUGACAGCCUCUCACCUCCGUACGCCGCCUCCAGCCGGCUCACAGGUACGUCAUUUAUUAUUUUACAAUAUCUGGUUUGAGUGUGUGCGUGCGUGUGUGUGUGUGUGCGUGUGUGCGUGCGUGUGUGUGUGUGUGUGUGCGUGCGUGCGUGUGUGCGUGCGUGUGUGUGCGCUCUGAGAAUUAGUGAACCACUAUGGUACACUGGAGGAGACGGUCAUCUGGCGUGCAGUUUCUCUCCCUCACCCUCGGCCCGCUGUGUGGAAAACGCCAGGCAUGUGCUCAUUUACCCAUGAUGCUCUCUGCCUCUGGCUCUCUCCGAUGUGGUGCCAGUUGUGAGCAAAUGGCCACUGACACAGAUUAUCUGCCCGUCUCUCUCACACACACACACACACACACACACACACACACACACACACACUCCGAGCUUAAUUACCUUUGAAUGGCUGCAUCACAUAUAGAAGAUGUCAGCUGAGCUCUCUGACUACCUGCUCGCUUCCUCUUGGGUUCUGAUCACCGUCUCCCUUGUGAGUCAUUAGACGUUAGGCCUUUUAUUCUUAAGCCAAAUAGAGUCAACGCANNNNNNNNNNUGUGAGCAUUGUGUGUGUGAGCAUUGUGUGUGUGAGCAUUGUGUGUGUGAGCAUUGUGUGUGUGAGCAUUGUGUUGGGUCGACCAACACCCAUCGCAAACAAAAGUUUCACAACUCUCGCCGUGAAUGUUUGAGUUUCUUUCAUGUUAUUUGCAGUUGACGCAGUUGUUGCCAAUUGUAAAUCUUAUCUCAGUCAAACAAACAUGUUUCAAGAAAACAAACCAAAUGCUGUGACUGUGUUGCAUGUGGAUAAAGUCAAUGUGAACAGUGGUGCCGUCAUGUUUGCAUUACAAAAUGUCUAUUCACAUGAUAGUAUAUACGGUCGCGUGCUCAUACAGUGUGCGAGUUCAGCACUCUUAUGUCUGGUGAACGAACCCGUCUGAGCCCGUUUGUGUCUGGGCUGAUCAGGACCUCCCAUAAUGCCUCCUGCUCCGCUGGGUGUGGAGGUCCUGGGGAUGUACUGGCCCGUCUCUCUACCCGGCCUUGUGAUGGGGUCGGUGUGGUGAGGUCAGGUCUUUUCUACCCAGGGGAACCAGAAUCUGCCGCCUCUCUCCACCGCGGCCCGCUUGAUGGUGGCGUAUCCUUCUCUCUGUUCCUUCCUCUAGUACAUGAUCCUCCUUCCUAGUUUUUCUGACGCUGGGGAGGAGGUUGUGGUCCUGUGAGCAAGAUGCCAGGCCUCUCACCCCCCCUAUGUAGUACGCCUGUGGGUAGACGUGUGCUGCCUUUCUGGUUUCAGUCUUUUCACUGGAAUCACAAACCUGGAGGGAGUUUUUUUCCCAUCCAUCAACAAUUUUUCCGCGCACCGGAUUAUAAAGCGCACCUUCAAUGAACGACCUAUUUUAGAACAUUUUUCAUAUAUCGGGCGCACCGGAUUAUAAGGCGCACCUUCAAUGAACGACCUAUUUUAGAACAUUUUUCAUAUAUCGGGCGCACCGGAUUAUAAGGCGCAUAAGAUACUGCAGUCAAGCGUUUGACGGCGGGUGGAUGGGGGGGGAUGUGGGGAGGUGGAGACGUUGCUUUCAGGGUCCGAUCGAUGCUGCGAGGUUCAUAGCACAAUACCGCCAUUAUUUAGGGUGACCAGACGUCCUCUUUUCCCCGGACACGUCCUCUUUUUGGGACCUAAAAAAUGCGUCCGGCAGGGAUUCCAAAAACAUCCGGGAUUUUUCUUUGUCCUGAUAUUUGUGUUUCUCUGGGUCUUUCACAAACUAGUUAUUACGCCCUUACAAGUUUUGGAAAUGGUGUCUCCCUUACGUUCCACCUUCUUCAUUGGACAACUGAUCUCAAUGUUGCCAGAUACACGAUAAUUAUCCAUCCGCCUCGGCCGUGAUGCUUCGGAAGCUGAGUGCAUGACAUGCAGAGCAGGCGCUUACGUGUCAGUGGCAAAUAAAGGUGGCAGCGAUUUGGAAGCUCUGCAAAACACAAAAGUGCAGCAAGAGGAGAGCGCUCAUCGAGUAAAGUGACCGACUUUUCGUGAGUAAAACAGACACUUGUGUUACGGCUGCAGAGGUACCCUUGCUUUUCAUACAAUAAAGCAUCACAGCAGCUACACAUCAAUGGACUGCACAUCUGGUUUGCUAAGAAAGAUUUUCCCAGAUUCGGUGACAACUCAAAAAAUCCGCGACGAAGUCCACAAACUCAAAUCUGGUCACCCUCCAUUAUUAAAAGGAAGAAUGUUUACGAGAGAACGGAUCAGAUUGAAGAGCUUUUGUGGGAAGAAAUGCGUAAAUAUGAGCGCUUGUACAAGCCGUCAUUGGCGUGACUCUCUAGGUCGUCUUCAACAGAACACGUGACUCCACCUGUUGUUCUGGAGGUGAAUCGCUCUGCAACACACGCGAGACUUUACAACCAGGAAGUGAAACCAGUGCGUCGACGCGUAAAGACGCAGAAACACGCGCCGGCCUUUAGAAUAACUUAUUUUAAAGAAAAGGGCGCCGUCUCUCGCUCUUUAAUCUCAUGAAGUGCUCGACAGCUUUGUUUCUCCGACGCGCCCUGAAAGCAGCUCCGUAUCUCACUCAGCUUCUCGCCGUCGUAGACGAGCUUUGUCGUGUUUGGCAGAGCGCCUUGAGCGCCGUGUACAACCAGUAUGGAUCAACCCAUUAACCAGUUGAUCCAUAUAUAUAUAUAAGGCUCCGGAUUAUAAGGCACUGUCGUUUUUUGAGAAUAUUAAAGUGUGUGUUUGAAUUACGCCAUCAGGUGUUGGAUUUGUGAAGUCAAUGCUGAUUAGUAAAACCUUCCACAUCCAAGUGGGAAAACUAUAUCUGGCUUGUUUCUUUCACAAAAUGUCAUUGGCACUAAGGGUCUAGACUGAAACGCAAGUCUUUCUAUCAAGGCUCGUUUCUGCUUUGUUACUCCAAAACCUCAAGCUUCAGAAGAUAUUUUAAACGUGUUAAGCUCAAUUGUAUCUGUGCAAGUGAGAGUUGUCUUUGAAAGCAUCUGUUUUUUAUCGAAAUCUACUCAAACAAAACUUUAGCAUUGAGCUCAUCAGUGUCAGUUAGUGGUUAACGUACAUUGCGCGUAGCGCUGUCACCAUAUCAAAUUUUUGUUGUGCGAUUAUUGCACCAACAUGUAUUGCAAUUUGCAAUAUUAUUGCAAUUUUCAGACCAUUUUAUGUCCCUGAUAACAAAAUGACAAUAUAAUAGCAUAGUAAUAAAAGUAUGCUACUACAAAGAACAAAGAACCUUUUAUCUGUCAAUAGAAUUGGAACGUGAAAAAAUAUAUCCUAUAUAAAUAAAACCCCAAAAAAUAAUAAGUGCAAGGGACACGGAGCAGGUGAAGCAAUGGAUUCUAGAAAAUGUGUCCAGCGGAAAGACGCACCGCGGCAGCCGGGGGCUUUAACGCGGGGCUUCGACCACCGGCAGGCCGACGCGCUUUUUCCACAUUUUGUUAUGUUACAGCCUUAUUCCAAAAUGGAUUAAAUUCAUUAUUUUCCUCAACAUUCUACACACAACAACCCAUAAUGACAAAGUGAAAACAUCACAUGUACAUAAGUAUUCACAGCCUUUGCUCAAUACUUUGUUGAA